rnacentral:rRNA from 1 species
GGUAACGCUGGCGGCGUGCCUAAACAUGCAAGUCGAACGGAUAGUCGCAAGAUUAUCAGUGGCAGACGGCUGAGUAACGCGUGGGUGACGUGCCGAUAGGUGGGGAAUAACUGCCCGAAAGGGUGGCUAAUACCGCAUCCGUCCACUGAUUCGCUUUCAGUGGGGAAAGCUUCGCAAGAGGCGCCGAUCGAGCGGCCCGCGUCCGAUUAGCUGGUUGGUGGGGUAACGGCCACCAAGGCGACGAUCGGUAGCUGGUCUUAGAGGAUGAUCAGCCAGACUGGGACUGAGACACGGCCCAGACUCCUACGGGAGGCAGCAGUUAGGAAUUUUGGGC